rnacentral:rRNA from 1 species
GAUGAACGCUGGCGGCGUGCCUAAUACAUGCAAGUCGAGCGAACGGGCGAGAAGCUUGCUUCUCUGAUGUUAGCGGCGGACGGGUGAGUAACACGUGGAUAACCUACCUAUAAGACUGGGAUAACUUCGGGAAACCGUAGCUAAUACCGGAUAAUAUUUUGAACCGCAUGGUUCAAAAGUGAAAGACGGUCUUGCUGUCACUUAUAGAUGGAUCCGCGCUGCAUUAGCUAGUUGGUAAGGUAACGGCUUACCAAGGCAACGAUGCAUAGCCGACCUGAGAGGGUGAUCGGCCACACUGGAACUGAGACACGGUCCAGACUCCUACGGGAGGCAGCAGUAGGGAAUCUUCCGCAAUGGUCGAAAGCCUGACGGAGCAACGCCGCGUGAGUGAUGAAGGUCUUCGGAUCGUAAAACUCUGUUAUUAGGGAAGAACAUAUGUGUAAGUAACUGUGCACAUCUUGACGGUACCUAAUCAGAAAGCCACGGCUAACUACGUG